CUGGGGAUCACUCAGGUUGUCCGGCUUGGCAGCGGCAACACUCAGCGCUGAGCCAUCUCUCCAACCCUCUGGUUCAUUUCUUAUCAGGUUCAUGUGCAGUCCAGGCUGGCCUCAACUUGUACCCAAGGAUGAUCUUGAAUUCCUGAUCCUCCUGCCUCCACAUGACAGGGUUUCUCUGUAGGUUUGGAGACUGUCUUGGAACUCACUUUGAAGACCAAGCUGAUUUGAUGAAGAUGACGUUGGUGUGAUUUGAGUGGACUCAGGAAGAACCUGGGAUGCAGGACUGAUGUGGGUCUUCAAGGAGGAACAAAAGAAAGAAGAUCUGAGAUGGUGCAGGAGACCCAUCGUAAUCUGCUUGAAUCUUCAGGGAAACAGUGGAGAAAUGCUGAUAACAGGUAGCAGAAGUCGGUCACGUUUGGGCAGUGGUGUUGAUGAGACACAUCUGGAGAUGGACAUACAGGCAUCAUGCUGUUUCAGGAUACUAUGUCUAGUUCAACACAAUCAGAUGCUGGAAUUCCAAAAGGAAACAGAAAGGGAUCAGCCACAAAAUGUUCCUUGGUCAUGGUGUCUCUUCGCAGCAAUAGAAGAAUAACUACGACAGAAGCUUACCUCAAAGAGCUUGCUGACACAGCAAGGUGAUUUCACAAGAAGGAGAUCUGAGGCUUAGAGCCAGAGGAUGGGGUGCUGAGGCUGUGAACAAGCAUCCAUAGGAAAAGCAUUGGCCCCUCCAACGGACCUGUUAAUGAUGUCAUGAUGGAAGAGAGGUCACCAAGGAAACAGCAUGAUCCACGAAGAGAAACUGAAAGGGAGGAGCCGCAGCGAGUGAGAUGCCAGGUGGAUAAGAAGACAGCAGGUGCCAGGGAAGAUGCCGGUUAUGUUUCUGUCUCCCGCAGCCAGCUUCAGGCACAAAGCAGUUCAGUGCUAGAGAGAGGAGGAUGGAACAGCACAAAGUAAAAUUCAGGUUUUUAUUUUUGCCUCUUAUGUGGGACAGCAUUAUUUAAAUUGUUGAAGUUAAUUUGCUCUUUGGAUAAAAGUGACACACUUUUCUUUUUGUGUAUGAAGUUUUUGCACUUUCUUUGAGAGGAAUGACAAUAAAGACCAUAAAUUGCCCUGUUCUAGAUUCAUCUAAAGGGUAGAAGAAAAUCAGACAGUGGCACGGGCCUGAGUGAGCAGUGGUAGAAAAUGAUACUGAGGUGUUCUUUUUGCACUUUGUUUUUCCCAUUUUACUGCAUAAACCACAUUUCUUCUUGGAGAAGAAACAUACUGCACCUGUGGACUUCAGAACACCAGCAUAUACCAGAAUCUUCUCCUCAAAAACCAAGUUCUACCCACUAUAGUAAAGACUCAAAGCUAAUGGAAGCAGGUUCCUUCUUGUAGGUAGUAGAGACCCAUGAGUUUCUUAAGCACAGAGGACUUUUGCUUUUCUUUUUCUUCUGGUUGUUUCACUUGUGGUUGAGGAAGACACUUUGUCAUGGGAGUGAGUUCUGCAGGUGGAAGAGUGCUCACUGUGUCAAGAACUGGGGCUAGCAGUAGAAGAAGUUGAGGUGAGGGCAGGACCUGACCCCAUAUUGGAAGAUGGAUGUAAAGUGAAGCAAGGCACAUGAUGGGUUUGUUUCUUUUAUUCAAUGCAUUAACAAGAAAAGCAUAAAGAUACAUAUCUGGAUACAUUUUAGCUAAAUAGGUUCCCAAUUCAAUUUAAUCUCAGAAAUCCCUGCCUCUAUAAGUCUUUGUAUUUUCACUUUGUCUAAAAGGCCCUUAGAUUUUUUUGUUUAAGGAUCUUGAGUUGGGUUGUUUUCAACACAUCAUUUUUCUGGAAGGCCCAAGUAUGGCAUUACUUCACCCUGUAGUCCCCACAGGGUCUGGGCAAUGUUCUUGGAAGCACAAAGAUGAUCUCACACAGUUAGAGAAGGGGUUCCUAAUAAAAUAAUAGUCCUUCUCUCAGGCCACUGCAUACUGCUAAAAUAUAUUACUUUUUGACCUUUGGCUAAAAUCCCAUUUAGAACAACUGAAGUAUUAGCCUCCUGUCAGCCUUACCACAUUCAAGGCUAUAAUUUUUGACAGCUGUAAGAGAUCUAGCAUUUUGUGGGAGCCCAGAUGAGCUGUCUAUAGAAGACCUUUUGUGAUAGUUGUUUGUCCAAAAAGGUUGGAUUGUAGACUAUUCAGCCUCGAAGUCCUCAAAGCACUUGGAUUAUCUCAGCAGUGCCUGCUCAGUUUUCCCUUGGCAGGUGCUGAUUCACCCUGGAC
rnacentral:lncRNA from 1 species